rnacentral:lncRNA from 1 species
AUUUUUUUUUUUAAAGUAAUUAGGGUUUAUUUGAUAGGUUUUUUAAUAUUUUAUUAGUUGUUUCUAACAUAGAUUAAAUUAGUUUAAACCCUACAAUAAAGAGGACUUAUGUAUCAAUAUGGAUCCAAUUAUGGAUGGAUUCCCUAAUUACAGAUUCCCCUUUCCCCUCUCUUUUCCAUUUCCUAGUUAAGCAUUAUAGAGGAGUGAUUAUUGUAAUUGUAGCAUAAUUAGUAUAAUGACUAGCGUGUUUAGUGUAAUGGCUAAGAUUGAGCUUUGUAAUUAGAAACACACACAAUAUAUAAUGCAAGUAACUCUCGUUUGGAGAGGCAUUCAAAACCAAAUAGAGUUUUAUUGAUAUGGUAUCAGAGCCUUCACUCUAAAAAAAAGACUUUCUUGGGCUUGACUGUAAAGCUCAAAAUCUUUUUUUGGAAACUCACCUGGCGGAUCACUCACUGUGGUAGCCGUCAAAUCUCUGUGCAGUCUAUGUGAAGGAGUUGUUGGGGCUGAACUCGAUGUGAAUUCUACCCAUCUCUGUGUCGUCGACUCCGGCUAAUUGUGUUGGAGAAAAUUGUGGUUGGCGGCAAUCACUCCUAUUUCCAGUUUCAGUGGACGGGCUCCUGUGAGAUGACUUUUGCUGCCAACGAUAACUGUCUUAGGUUCGGUCGGAGUUCUCUGGUGUUGAGAAGGAGGGAGAGCGAAUCUGCAGUCUCGGCUUCAUUCCAGUCUUCCUUCGUCCUUCGUGGUUGAUUGUUAGGGCUUAGGUGAAUUACCAAUUGGACUUUAUUUCUAAUUGGGCCAAACUCUCUGGCUGAAGUGAUUCUCUAAUCGGGUGUCUCUCUUGGGCCAAACUAAAUUGGGCUCGAGGUAUUGAACUUAUUGCCACGAAUUAAAAUUUGUUGGGCUUGUGUGUUAUUUUUUUAAUUAUCUCUACUGGAAAUUCAGAAUUUUUUGGUGUGAAACUCAUUGGAAAAAAUUAUUCUGCCUAGGAAUUUCAAUUUCAUUUAUUCGUUACUGGGAAGGAAUUGUGGGGUCAUGUUGAUGGAAGUGAUUCUGCCCCCACGAAUCCUAAAGAAUUGGCAAAUUGGAAAAUUAAAGAGCUCGAGUUAUGACUUAGAUUUUAGCAUCUAUUGACCCUAUGAUUGUUCUAAAUCUAAGGCCGUACAAGACUGCUAAGAGUAUGUGGAAAUAUUUGAAGAAAGUUUACCACAGGACAAUACAGCACGACGAUUUCAAAUGGAGUCUGAAAUUGCUAGUUAUUCUCAAGCCGAUAAAUCCAUUCAAGAGUAUAAUUCUGGGUUUCAAAUCUUGUGGGUAGAAUUAACCGAUAUGAUUUAUUCUAAGGUGUCAGAUGCCUCUCUUGGAGCAGUUCAAGAAGUACAUGA